UGGGGAAUAUUGCACAAUGGGCGCAAGCCUGAUGCAGCGACGCCGCGUGAGGGAUGACGGCCUUCGGGUUGUAAAACCUCUUUUCAAUAGGGACGAAGCGCAAGUGGCGGUACCUAUAGAAGAAGGACCGGCCAACUACGUGCCAGCAGCCGCGGUAAUACNUAGGGUCCGAGCGUUGUCCGGAAUUACUGGGCGUAAAGAGCUCGUAGGUGGUUUGUCGCGUUGUUCGUGAAAAACUCACAGCUUAACUGUGGGCGUGCGGGCGAUACGGGGCAGACUAGAGUACUGCAGGGGAGACUGGAAUUCCUGGUGUAGCGGUGGAAUGCGCAGAUAUCAGGAGGAACACCGGUGGCGAAGGCGGGUCUCUGGGCAGUAACUGACGCUGAGGAGCGAAAGCGUGGGGAGCGAACAGGAUUAGAUACCCUGGUAGUCCACGCCGUAAACGGUGGGUACUAGGUGUGGGUUUCC
rnacentral:rRNA from 1 species